rnacentral:lncRNA from 10 species
UUUGGAGGUACUCAAGCUUGAUGGCUUUGAGAUGUGCCUGUCCUGGUCACAGAUCUCAGACAGUUGGAAAGAACCUGAGUGACCUUCAAACUCAAACCAUUCAUUUCACAGUUGGAGAAACUGGCUCAGGGAAGGAAGAUGACUUGCCUGAGGUCACACAGCCAGCAAGCAGCAGAGCUGGAACUCAAACCUUGAUCUCUUGCCCCUUGGUCCUGUGCUGUCUCUCCUGCUGCCUAAUAUUGGUAACAGCUAUGGGGCACUUACUUUGUGCCAGGCACUAUAUUAAGUGCUUUACAUGCAUUUAAUCCUUACGACCAUCCUAUGAAAUAAAUACUAUUAUUAAUCCCAUUUAUAGAUAAGGAAACAGACUCAGAGAAACAAGUUAUGAAGCUUAGGGUCACAGCUAACAAAAAGCUGAGCCAGGUUUCAAACCCAGAUCAGUCUCAAAACCCGGAGCUUGUAAUCACUAACACUAAUCUAAGGCAUAAGUCUUCUCUUUGAGGGGCUUAACUUUCAACAUCCCCAAACCACCUCACACGUUUCAGGGAACCCACAAAGACUGGAGAGAGAAAGAGGGUGAAACAAAAGGCUCCCAAACUGGUCCCAUUCAGAUGGGGCUAUCCCAAGUUGUCACUUCAGUCUAAGAGCAGCCAAAUGAAAUACUGUGACCCUAUGUUGGGUCAUCAGUCAAUUCAGAAGCCCCUGGCAGUUUUGAAAUAUGGCGAAACAGGCAAAGCCAUGGACUAGAGAGUCAAGUCACUGUCACCUGCCUAUCAAGACUCAUCUUCUUAGCAGUUUCUCCAACACCCAUCAGUGGGUAAUACUGAGGAUGUCUGCACAUGACCCAGGAGGUACAAAUGACUGAGCUCAUUGUGAAAGGAGACAGGGCUGCAGGUGAAGUAUGCAUAUUCAUAGAGUACUGGCAAGGCAUGAAUCAGAUUUCUUAGGAGACUGGGCAGAGAGCAGCAGUCAUGCUCUCAUCCUCUGAGGCAGGGGAACCUGAUGACUAACCCCCAUCUUCAGGCACAUUUGCCUUGGGCUGAGUGCCCCGGGAGGCAGAAGCAAAGAAAGAGACAGG